UAAUCCUAUGGGAGGCAGCAGUAGGGAAUUUUCGUCAAUGGGCGCAAGCCUGAACGAGCAAUGCCGCGUGAACGAGGAAGGUCUUCGGAUCGUAAAGUUCUGUUGAAGGGGAAAAAGAGCGGAGAGAGGAAAUGCUUUCUGAUUGAUAUUACCCUUCGAGGAAGUCACGGCUAACUACGUGCCAGCAGCCGCGGUAAUACGUAGGAUGCGAGCGUUAUCCGGAUUUAUUGGGUUUAAAGGGUGCGCAGGCGGUCUGUUAAGUCAGCGGUCAAAGCCCGGGGCUCAACCCCGGCCCGCCGUUGAAA
rnacentral:rRNA from 1 species